GGGAGGUAUACACACUGUGAGAAUAAAGUUUGAAAUUCCAGAAGUUGAACAUGCCCAGAUCAAAAAGCAGACCUGAGAUGUCCCUAGAAUAUCCUUAUCUCCCUUCUGUGACCUCCCCCCACUAAGGUGACCAGUGACUGGCAUCAUGAUUUCUAACAGCUUAGAUUAGUUUCACCCAUUUUCGCAGGCCAUCCUCUCUCAAGACUUCUCUUUUUCCAGAGAAGCAGAACUCUGGAGUGCACUGACCAUUAGGAGUUCGCAUCAGUGCCUUAUCCAGAGUAGCAGAUGCUGAAUACAGUUAUUGAGUGGAUCCAGGAACACAGACACCUGAAGAAAUUCGGGAUCCUGCCAACUGUGGCAAGCAACCACUGGCAGAGCGGG